rnacentral:rRNA from 1 species
ACUCCUACGGGAGGCAGCAGUGGGGAAUAUUGCACAAUGGGCGCAAGCCUGAUGCAGCCAUGCCGCGUGUAUGAAGAAGGCCUUCGGGUUGUAAAGUACUUUCAGCAGUGAGGAAGGUGGGUAUGUUAAUAGCAUAUUCAUUUGACGUAGCUGCAGAAAGAAGCACCGGGCUAACUCCGUGCCAGCAGCCGCGGUAAUACGGAGGGUGCGAGCGUUAAUCGGAAUUACUGGGCGUAAAGCGCAUGCAGGUGGUUUGUUAAGUCAGAUGUGAAAGCCCGGGCUCAAGCCUC